CACGAACCGUGCGAACGUUAUUCGGAAUCACUGGGCUUAAAGAGUGCGUAGGCGGCCUGGAAGGUGGGGUGUGAAAGCCCUCGGCUCAACCGAGUAAUUUCGCUCCAAACCACUAGGCUCGAGGGAGAUAGAGGUGAGCGGAACUGAUGGUGGAGCGGUGAAAUGCGUUGAUAUCAUCAGGAACACCGGUGGCGAAAGCGGCUCACUGGGUCUCUUCUGACGCUGAGGCACGAAAGCUAGGGUAGCGAACGGG
rnacentral:misc_RNA from 1 species